rnacentral:rRNA from 1 species
CCUACGGGAGGCAGCAGUGGGGAAUCUUGCGCAAUGGGCGAAAGCCUGACGCAGCCAUGCCGCGUGAAUGAUGAAGGUCUUAGGAUUGUAAAAUUCUUUCACCGGGGACGAUAAUGACGGUACCCGGAGAAGAAGCCCCGGCUAACUUCGUGCCAGCAGCCGCGGUACUACGAAGGGGGCUAGCGUUGCUCGGAAUUACUGGGCGUAAAGGGAGCGUAGGCGGAUAGUUUAGUCAGAGGUGAAAGCCCAGGGCUCAACCUUGGAAUUGCCUUUGAUACUGGCUAUCUUGAGUGUGGGAGAGGUAUGUGGAACUCCGAGUGUAGAGGUGAAAUUCGUAGAUAUUCGGAAGAACACCAGUGGCGAAGGCGACAUACUGGCCCAUUACUGACGCUGAGGCUCGAAAGCGUGGGGAGCAAACAGGAUUAGAUACCCUGGUAGUCCACGCUGUAAACGAUGAGUGCUAGUUGUCGGCAGGCAUGCCUGUCGGUGACGCAGCUAACGCAUUAAGCACUCCGCCUGGGGAGUACGGUCGCAAGAUUAAAACUCAAAGGAAUUGACGG